AUUGAACGCUGGCGGCAGGCCUAACACAUGCAAGUAGAGCGGAGCGAGGGACGGGUGAGUAAUGAAUAGGAAUCUGACUGGUAGUGGGGGGUAGCGUCAGAAAAGGGGCGGUAAUCCCGAAUCCUAUCUGAUUAGCUUAGGUCGGAUUAGCUAGUUGGUGGGGUAAGGGCCUACCAAGGCGACGACCCGUAACUGGUCUGAGAGGAGGAUCAGUCACACUGGAACUGGGACACGGUCCAGACUCGUACGGGAGGCAGCAGUGGGGAAUAUUGGACAAUGGGCGAAAGCCUGAUGCAGCCAUGCCGCUUGUGUGAAGAAGGUCUACGGAUUUUAAAGCACUUUAAGUUGGGAGGCGUUACCAACAGAAUAAGCACCGGCUAACUUCGUGCCAGCAGCCGCGGUAAUAC
rnacentral:rRNA from 1 species